rnacentral:rRNA from 1 species
AUGCGCAAUAGGAAGUGGCCUGGAAAUCCUAUGUGUUCCUUUUGUACAGAUAUAGAAACUGCAAAUCACUUGUUCUUUACUUACCCUCUUGCUCGUACAGUUUGGGGUGUACUGGGUAUGACUGUUGGGGUCUCUUGUUAUCCCCGAUCGCUUUGGCAAAGUUUUGCCUGGUUCUAUAGGUUCUUUCCAGGAGGAAAUCAAUUCUAUAUGACGAUUAUUGCGGCAAUAUGUUGGGGUAUCUGGUGUCUCCGCAACAAAGUUACCUUUGAUAAAUAUGUAGCUCGCACUCCCCUGAAGGCUGUUUUCACUGCCUGCUCGUUUAUGUUGUAUUGGGCAGGGUUGCUUAAAGCUGAAGACAAGGCGAAAUUCCAAGCUGGAGUGAAGAGGUUGGCUCACGUGGCUGCUACGCUGGCGGACAUGCCUUUCACUCGCGACAGGCUUCUCUUGGAUGACAGGGAUGGGAUUCAGAUUGGCUAG